rnacentral:tRNA from 1 species
GGAAUUAUGCCUGAAUGUUUAAGGACCACCUUGAUAGGGUGACUUAUAAGGGUUAAAGCCCCUUUAAUUCCUUA